rnacentral:rRNA from 1 species
GGGUUGUGAGGUUAAGCGACUAAGCGUACACGGUGGAUGCCUAGGCAGUCAGAGGCGAUGAAGGGCGUGCUAAUCUGCGAAAAGCGUCGGCAAGGUGAUAUGAACCGUUAUACCCGACGAUACCCGAAUGGGGAAACCCAGUGUGUUUCGACACACUAUCAUGUCAUGAAUCCAUAGUGACAUGAGGCGAACCGGGGGAACUGAAACAUCUCAGUACCCCGAGGAAAAGAAAUCAACCGAGAUUCCCCCAGUAGCGGCGAGCGAACGGGGAAGAGCCCAGAACCAGAAUCAGUUUGUGCAUCAGUGGAAGCGUCUGGAAAGUCGCACGGUACAGGGUGAUAGUCCCGUACACAAAGAUGCACUUGCUGUGAGUUCGACGAGUAGGGCGGGACACGAGAUAUCCUGUCUGAAGAUGGGGGGACCAUCCUCCAAGGCUAAAUACUCCUGACUGACCGAUAGUGAACCAGUACCGUGAGGGAAAGGCGAAAAGAACCCCGGCGAGGGGAGUGAAACAGAACCUGAAACCGUGUACGUACAAGCAGUGGGAGCCCCACCACCAAAGCAUUCUCUGGUGAUGAAGGCAGCGCAACAGCAGCAUCGCGGUGGCGGCGCGUCUUUUGCGACGCCCAACACACAAGACAAGCGGUGAGUGCUUUGGGGUGGGGUGACUGCGUACCUUUUGUAUAAUGGGUCAGCGACUUAUAUUUUGUAGCAAGGUUAACCGAAUAGGGGAGCCGCAGGGAAACCGAGUCUUAACUGGGCGUCAAGUUGCAAGGUAUAGACCCGAAACCCGGUGAUCUAGCCAUGGGCAGGUUGAAGGUUGGGUAACACUAACUGGAGGACCGAACCGACUAAUGUUGAAAAAUUAGCGGAUGACUUGUGGCUGGGGGUGAAAGGCCAAUCAAACCGGGAGAUAGCUGGUUCUCCCCGAAAGCUAUUUAGGUAGCGCCUCGUGAAGUCAUCUUCGGGGGUAGAGCACUGUUUCGACUAGGGGGCCAUCCCGGCUUACCAACUCGAUGCAAACUACGAAUACCGAAGAAUGUUAUCACGGGAGACACACGGCGGGUGCUAACGUCCGUCGUGAAGAGGGAAACAACCCAGACCGCCAGCUAAGGUCCCAAAGUCAUGGUUAAGUGGGAAACGAUGUGGGAAGGCCCAGACAGCCAGGAUGUUGGCUUAGAAGCAGCCAUCAUUUAAAGAAAGCGUAAUAGCUCACUGGUCGAGUCGGCCUGCGCGGAAGAUGUAACGGGGCUAAACCAUGCACCGAAGCUGCGGCAGCGACGCUUAGGCGUUGUUGGGUAGGGGAGCGUUCUGUAAGCCGUUGAAGGUGGUCUGUGAGGAUUGCUGGAGGUAUCAGAAGUGCGAAUGCUGACAUAAGUAACGAUAAUGCGGGUGAAAAACCCGCACGCCGGAAGACCAAGGGUUCCUGUCCAACGUUAAUCGGGGCAGGGUGAGUCGACCCCUAAGGCGAGGCCGAAAGGCGUAGUCGAUGGGAAACAGGUUAAUAUUCCUGUACUGGGUGUUACUGCGAAGGGGGGACGGAGAAGGCUAUGUUGGCCGGGCGACGGUUGUCCCGGUUUAAGCGUGUAGGUGGGUGCUCCAGGCAAAUCCGGAGCGCUAUUAACGCCGAGGCGUGAUGACGAGGCACUACGGUGUCGAAGUGACAAAUGCCACGCUUCCAGGAAAAGCCCCUAAGCAUCAGGUAACAUCGAAUCGUACCCCAAACCGACACAGGUGGUCAGGUAGAGAAUACUCAGGCGCUUGAGAGAACUCGGGUGAAGGAACUAGGCAAAAUGGUGCCGUAACUUCGGGAGAAGGCACGCUGUGCGAGGUGAAGUCCCUGGCGGAUGGAGCGUUGCGCAGUCGCAGAUACCAGCUGGCUGCAACUGUUUACUAAAAACACAGCACUGUGCAAACACGAAAGUGGACGUAUACGGUGUGACGCCUGCCCGGUGCCGGAAGGUUAAUUGAUGGGGUAAGCCGCAAGGCGAAGCUCUUGAUCGAAGCCCCGGUAAACGGCGGCCGUAACUAUAACGGUCCUAAGGUAGCGAAAUUCCUUGUCGGGUAAGUUCCGACCUGCACGAAUGGCGUAAUGAUGGCCAGGCUGUCUCCACCCGAGACUCAGUGAAAUUGAACUCGCUGUGAAGAUGCAGUGUACCCGCGGCAAGACGGAAAGACCCCGUGAACCUUUACUAUAGCUUGACACUGAACCUUGAGCCUUGAUGUGUAGGAUAGGUGGGAGGCUUUGAAGCGUGGACGCCAGUCUGCGUGGAGCCAACCUUGAAAUACCACCCUUUGAUGUUUGAUGUUCUAACGUGGGCCCGUGAACCGGGUUGCGGACAGUGUCUGGUGGGUAGUUUGACUGGGGCGGUCUCCUCCCAAAGAGUAACGGAGGAGUACGAAGGUUAGCUAAUCCUGGUCGGACAUCAGGAGGUUAGUGCAAAGGCAUAAGCUAGCUUGACUGCGAGAGUGACGGCUCGAGCAGGUGCGAAAGCAGGUCUUAGUGAUCCGGUGGUUCUGAAUGGAAGGGCCAUCGCUCAACGGAUAAAAGGUACUCCGGGGAUAACAGGCUGAUACCGCCCAAGAGUUCAUAUCGACGGCGGUGUUUGGCACCUCGAUGUCGGCUCAUCACAUCCUGGGGCUGAAGUAGGUCCCAAGGGUAUGGCUGUUCGCCAUUUAAAGUGGUACGCGAGCUGGGUUUAGAACGUCGUGAGACAGUUCGGUCCCUAUCUGCCGUGGGCGUUGGAAGAUUGAGGGGGGUUGCUCCUAGUACGAGAGGACCGGAGUGAACGCACCACUGGUGUACGGGUUGUGAUGCCAAUUGCAUUGCCCGGUAGCUACGUGCGGAAGAGAUAACCGCUGAAAGCAUCUAAGCGGGAAACUUGCCCCGAGAUGAGUCUUCCCUGGGCCUUAAAGGCCCCUGAAGGGACGUUUAAGACGAAGACGUUGAUAGGCUGGGUGUGUAAGCGCAGCGAUGCGUUGAGCUGACCAGUACUAAUGACCCGAGAGGCUUAACCUUACAACACCGAAGGUGUUU